AAAACAUAUGUGGCCAUCUCAUGGAACAUCUCAUCCAGCCAUUCAUACUGGAACGGAACCGUGAUCUGCAACAGGGACAAUUUUCCCUCAGGCUUCACAUUACAAAGACUAACAUGUAGCAUGCAUGAGGAAAAAUUGAGAGGCGUGUGAGCUUCAAUCAGAAAACGACAAGGGGCAAGACUACUUGGGGGACAGCUGGAAGAAUAAUACCAACAGGGACCUUACAGUAAUAACAUGUGAGGAUGUGGAAUGGUUACUUCUGACUCAGGCUACGGUCCAGUGCAGUAAGCACAGUAAUGAUCUUUGGACUGCAUAUAAGACUGGUAAUUUCUCAUCCAAGUAUUGUAGGCUUUUCAAGAAAGGACCAGUGUUAUGGAAUAAACAGAGGGACUAUAUGAUGAAAUUUAUUUAUGUAAUAUUAGUUUACAAAACUCAGCUAAAAUAAGUAUAUAUCAGGAAAUCAAGGAAUUACAGAUUCUAAAUGUAAUGUAUAUCCUUAAAAAAUACAAACCUGCAAUGGUAUAACUAU